rnacentral:rRNA from 1 species
UACGAAGGGUGCAAACGUUGCUCGGAAUCAUUGGGCGUAAAGCGCACGUAGGCGGCUCCAAAAGUCGGAUGUGAAAUCCCUGGGCUCAACCGAGGAAGUGCAUCCGAAACUGCGGAGCUUGAGUAUGGAAGAGGGUCGCGGAAUUCCCGGUGUAGAGGUGAAAUUCGUAGAUAUCGGGAGGAACACCAGUGGCGAAGGCGGCGACCUGGGCCAAUACUGACGCUGAGACGCGAAAGCGUGGGGAGCGAACAGG